AGAGUUUGAUCAUGGCUCAGAAUGAACGUUGGCGGCGUGGAUUAGGCAUGCAAGUCGAGCGGCAGCAGGCCCCGCAAGGGGCGCUGGCGAGCGGCGAAAGGGAGAGUAACACGCGGGUACCUGCCCUCGGGCCCGGGAUAGCUGCGGGAAACUGCAAUUAAUACCGGAUAAUGUCCCUGGACCAAAGGUGUGAUUCCGCCUGAGGAGGGGCCCACGUCCUAUCAGCUAGUUGGUGAGGUAACGGCUCACCAAGGCUACGACGGGUACGGGGUGUGAGAGCAUGCCCCCGCUCACUGGGACUGAGACACUGCCCAGACACCUACGGGUGGCUGCAGUCGAGAAUCUUCCGCAAUGGGCGAAAGCCUGACGGAGCGACGCCGCGUGCGGGAUGAAGGCCUUCGGGUUGUAAACCGCUGUCAGAGGGGAACAAGUUCAUGGGGGUUCUCCCCUAUGUUUGAGUGAUCCUCAGAGGAAGCGCAGGCUAAGUCCGUGCCAGCAGCCGCGGUAACACGGACUGCGCGAACGUUAUUCGGAAUCACUGGGCUUAAAGAGUCCGUAGGCGGCCGUGCAGGUGGGGUGUGAAAUCCCUCGGCUUAACCGAGGAAUUGCGCUCCAAACCACACGGCUUGAGAGAGAUAGAGGUGAGCGGAACUCACGGUGGAGCGGUGAAAUGCGUUGAUAUCGUGAGGAACACCGGUGGC
rnacentral:rRNA from 1 species